rnacentral:rRNA from 1 species
AUUGAACGCUGGCGGCAGGCCUAACACAUGCAAGUCGAGCGGAUGAGUGGAGCUUGCUCCAUGAUUCAGCGGCGGACGGGUGAGUAAUGCCUAGGAAUCUGCCUGGUAGUGGGGGACAACGUUUCGAAAGGAACGCUAAUACCGCAUACGUCCUACGGGAGAAAGUGGGGGAUCUUCGGACCUCACGCUAUCAGAUGAGCCUAGGUCGGAUUAGCUAGUUGGUGAGGUAAAGGCUCACCAAGGCGACGAUCCGUAACUGGUCUGAGAGGAUGAUCAGUCACACUGGAACUGAGACACGGUCCAGACUCCUACGGGAGGCAGCAGUGGGGAAUAUUGGACAAUGGGCGAAAGCCUGAUCCAGCCAUGCCGCGUGUGUGAAGAAGGUCCUCGGAUUGUAAAGCACUUUAAGUUGGGAGGAAGGGCAGUAAGUUAAUACCUUGCUGUUUUGACGUUACCAACAGAAUAAGCACCGGCUAACUUCGUG